GCUCGAUCAAGCUGAAUGUCGAGUGCGUUCUCGUAGUAAUGAAGCGCCUUCCACGUCUCUGGAAUGACAAUGAUAAACUCUCGGAAAUACAGCUGGUUUCUUGUUGCACGGAAAAGCACUUUGGAUGUGUCGGUAAGAAUCAGUAAAUGUGUUUGGUGCAAGGCCACUAUCUAGUGGAUAGAGGAAUGAACUGGCAGGCAAGCAUGAAGGAAUGGACUGACUGGAUCUGACUUGCUUAUCGCCACUGAUGAGCAGCUCUCUGGGAAAAGUCUCAUACCAUGUGUUCAUUCAGCACUUCCACCUCUCCUCUUCUAUAGAGCCGGCAGAGCGGCAUUGGACAACCAGUGCAGGUGAAAGAAAUGAAUGCUGAAUAAAGAUGGUGUCAGCUGUCAUUGCAAUACAUGUUUUAAAAAUGUGUCUUCUUGUGUUUUAACAUGUCUAAUGGUUUAUGUUUUGCUCAUCAUUACCACAAUCAACACCACCUUCCUAAUUCUCUCUCUUUAUCUCUAUAUCUCUUUCUCUCACACAUACACAUGCUUACUCAUACAUCAUUGCCACAAUCAAAACCACCUUCAUAAUUCUCUCUCUACACACACACACACUCUCUCACUAACCUUAUUACCACAACCAAUACCACCUUCCUGAUUCUCUUUCUCACACACUCACACACAUACACUCUCACUUAACACAACUCAUUAAAAAUAUCAAGUGUAUUUCAUAUGUUAUAAUGAUCUUGAAGUGACUUAUACAAUGACAGAACAAGAGGAAUAAAGUCCAUGGGUAUUUAUGACAAGACAGUCUGUGCUCUGCAAUAAUUUACUAAAUAUUUCAAAAUAAUAACUGGAAUAAAAUUCCUUGUAAUACUUCAAAAUAUCCCCAUACCACCACUUACAAAAAUUACCUUUAAUAGAAAUAAAUACAUUCCAUAAAUAAAACAAUACUGUUCUAAGAAAAUGAAGGCAGAAAUCCACAGAUUGUGGGGAAAUAUUUUACUUGCCUUAGAAAAUAUUUCACGGUAAAGUGUGUGCUGUGCACUUAAAGGUGGCC